UGACAAAAUUCCAAUAACAUUGAAUAAAACCUGAGAAAUAUCCUAGAAGAGAGUGCUACAGUGGACAAUGGCACCAACUUUGAAGUUAUUAUUGUACAAAAUAUCCAAUUCUGACUGGCUAAGGAAAGUAAUACGUGGCAAGCGGUUGAUUUAAGUGUUGACUUCUGACAGUUGUAAACGUGUAUUCGGUUGUUGUGUCAUUCAAAUGACAUGAAUAAAUUAUUUAUUUCGCAUGUGACUCGCGCAUGCAAGUAAAUACAUCUAUAUCAUAUAUGUCUAUUAAUUGUCAAAUAACUUAUUAACAAAUAAGAAAAUCCUUGCACUGUACAAAAGUCAAUAUACAAGACAGUGUAGUCAAACUUAAAUAAUAUUUGUAUUAAAAAUAUAUAAAUUAUCAUAAAAAUGUCAUCUAUAUUUACAUUAAAUAUUUAUUACAAAUACUUCACUUCUCCCAUGUCAUCUAAGGUGAACUUUCUAGGCCAAGCAGAUGCACCCAGCCCACUUUGUAUUCUGGAAUCAGAAAGUGUUUCCAUGGGAACAAAUCUACUGUAGUUGGAGCUGUUUAAGCUAUAAUUAAGGAAAGUACUUUUGUAAACGCCUUUUAAAAUAUUGGUUAACGGCAUAGUAUUAGCGUUUGAAGGUAGGUGUUCGUUUGUAGUCGAAGGCUGCAACGUCUUGCUGGCAACACGUAUUGCCAUGGCAACAGAUUAGCAACAGAGAGCAACAAUUAUAGCAGCAACCGGUAAAAUAGCAGCAGAGGAGUUCGCCAUGACAAUUCUGCCAAGGUAUCCCUCCGGCACCUGUCACACUGACGAGUCAGUGGAAAAAUACAAUCUAUAGUGAUACAUAUUAUUGUAUUGUACUUGUUGAACUAACAAAGUUUAACGAAAACAAAAAUUGGGUGGGGAAAGGGCGAAGGGGUAACAAGCCCAACUUGCUGCAAAAAGGUAAAAACAUGCAGGUAAAUGAUCCGAACAGGGCGCCACGAACGGUUACAAGGCGUCACGAACCACUCAACGGCUGUGACGUCAUGGGCUUCCCCCAAACGGAAGUCAACAGGUAUGCAUAAUACAUCUGCCGACUGCCGUUAACCUAUACUUAAAUCUAUUUAACCUCAUGCAAUACUGAAUAACUAUCUAGAAAUAUCAGGACUAUUUCGGACAUAUUUUACCAUUGUUUUUUCUGUAUCGAAAUUUGGUCAUUUCAGUUCUUAUAAUAAUAAACAGAACAUUACACGGUGGCUUGAAGAUAUGACUUUUAUCUUCUCG